rnacentral:rRNA from 1 species
CAGCCGCCGCGGUAAUACGAGGGGGGCAAGCGUUGUUCGGAAUUAUUGGGCGUAAAGGGUGCGUAGGCGGCUUGACAAGUCUUGUGUGAAAUCUAUGGGCUCAACCCAUAGUCUGCACGGGAAACUGUCGGGCUUGAGGAUGGGAGAGGUGAGUGGAAUUUCCGGUGUAGCGGUGAAAUGCGUAGAUAUCGGAAGGAACACCUGUGGCGAAAGCGGCUCACUGGACCAUUUCUGACGCUGAUGCACGAAAGCUAGGGGAGCAAACAGGAUUAGAUACCCCCGUAGUCCCUGUCUCUUAUAC